rnacentral:lncRNA from 1 species
UGCCAUUAAAAUUCACAAAAAGAGCUCACAAAAAGCAACCAAGUGUAGGAGGCCUAAACCUCUUGUCAAACACAUGCAUCAAAAGGGUAUCAAAAAUCAAAGUCAGGGGGCAAGGAUCCACACAUCAAGGCAUGACAUACAUACUAAAACAUUCACCCAUAAUACCUCAUUCAUUCAGAAAUUUCAGGUUGAAAGUAUAAAUUAGUGGAAAUAGGGCAUACCUGAUUGGGGAGGAUCGAUUGAAAUUGAAUUGCACCGUAGGCUUUGCAGAACAAUCUUAGGGUUUAUAUGAGAGAGAAUUGGUUCUUUGCAUAUGAGUUCCCUUCAGUCUCUGGAGGUUGCUCUGAACUCUGUUAGCUUUUCUCUCACUAUCUUUUUCCCUAGGGUUUUUUGGGAGAUGGAAGUCUAGAAUUUAUAACCUGAUUUUUGUGACUUUGUGGGCUAAAAUGAGAGAGGUCCAAGUCCAAG